GUUUGAUUAACACCUUUAUGAUCGACAGACACAAUGGAGAAAAUCAUUUUCUUCUUCUGUGUAUUUUCUUGGAAUAUGCAAACCACAUCCAGUGAUGUGUCAGUGCGAGGAUCUUCUGAUCUGUUAAGAGUUCAGACGGGAGAAAACAUCAGUCUGAACUGCAGCAUGACGAACCGAUAUGAAGUCGCCUGGUAUCACCUCAGAUCUGGAGAACUGGAUCUACUGAUUGCGGCAGAGAAAGACAAAAAAGGAAGAAAACUCCUGAUCAACUACAAUCCAAACAGCCCUCGUCUGAAAAUGACUGCAGACGCUUGGGUCACCAGAGCCACGCUGGUUAUUUCUGGAGUCACGGAGUCAGAUUCUGGUCUUUAUUUCUGUGGAACAAAGUCUGACGCUCCAGAGAUGUUCUUCGACAAACCCUUCAGACUAGAGAUCGAGGGUCUUAUUGUAGUACAAGAGACAGAAGAAGAAGCUGACAACACAGAUGGAGUGACUACAAAAGAGAGGGCAUUGAUGUUCGGUGGUGUUGGUCUGGCUGUGUUUGUGUUUUUUCUGGCUACAGUCGUCGCAGGAGGAAUCAUUCACUAUCACGCUUGGCAGAAAGGAUGGGCUGCAGCCAAACGCUCAUCUUCGAUUCACCACAAAUCGGUUAAAUAACUUCUAUUUCUGCUACAGUUUGACUCAAUCUAUCCCUGAGCUUUGCUUUGCAUUGCUGUAGUUCACCACAAAUUAAAACAGAAAACUGUGGCUCAGAUGCUUUUCCUGUUGAGCAGAUUUACAGAUGUGUUGCGGCAAAUGUCGUCUUUUUCAGCACAUUUCAGUUUGAAUGUCAUCAGGCUGUAUAUUUAUCUAGAGGAGCAUUAUAUGUAUACUCAUAUGCUCAUUUCAAGAGAAUAAACUCAAAAAACAGCAAACAUAUGCUUUAUUGCACAUUAUGCACAUUUUAUAUUCAUCUAGAGAAGCAUUAUUAUAUCCAUAUAAGCUAAUUUAGGAGAAAAUAUAAAUGUCACAUG